GACGAAGGAUGCAAGCGUUAUCCGGAUUCAUUGGGUUUAAAGGGAGCGUAGGCGGAUAGAUAAGUCAGUGGUGAAAUCUCUGGGCUUAACCCAGAAACUGCCAUUGAUACUGUUUAUCUAGAGUACAUUUGCUGUGGGCGGAAUAUGACAUGUAGUGGUGAAAUACUUAGAUAAUGUCAUAGAACACCGAUUGCGAAGGCAGCUCACAAAAAUGUAACUGACGCUGAGG
rnacentral:rRNA from 1 species